rnacentral:lncRNA from 1 species
UCCAAUUAAAAACCAUUAAGAAAAUAUACUCCCUUUAAUUGAAAGGGAAUAGAAAACAAUAGGAUUUUGUUGCCGCUAUUAGAAAAACCUAACAUGCGUGAAGAAAAUCGAUGCCUACCACAGUUUCCGGUCUGCCAUAGUCUCCGACCAUCUUCAUUCCAGGUAACUUUCCUUCUUCCCCAUGUAACAUCUCUUCUUAUCCAGCAGGUUGUUUUCAACAGAUUUACAAUAAGCUUCUCGAUUGAUUUACAAUAGCAGUACCAUGAUAGAUUCUCAUAUGCUGCUCAAUUGAUUUAUAGUAGGAGGAAAAAUAACUCUUGAAUGCUUCGAAAGUACAUAGCAGUACUACACGGUAAAUCAUGGUUGAAGCACUGUUGUUUAUGGAAGUCUAUAGAUUCUCAUAUUAAUAAAAUUCUUUUUUUCCUCAAUUAAGAUAUGAACCUAGAAAAAUAAAACUAAAAGUUUUGUUUAUCGUCAUACUAUAGGAGUAUAGGACUGAUAUGAAGUUGAUUAAUGUCAGUCACGCCUCCCUUAUCAUAAUCGAAAAAAAGAUAUUCGCUAAAGAUCAAUUCCAACAAAAUUAAUUAUUGACCAAAAGGUAAUUGUACAUUAUUAAGGUAUACGAUGAAUUGGUUGUUGCAAUCCAUGAGUUGUUCUUUAUUUAUUUCGGCUAUCUUGAAAAAUUAAAUUUGCAAGUCUUUAAUUCAAUUAAGUUUGAAAACUUGAAAUACAAUGAAAUUAUUGGCCAGAAUAUGAGCAGUACAUUUUUUUAGGCUUGCAAUCAUCUUCAUGUCGUUGGAUGGGGACAAAACUCUUGAUUAUGUUAGGAAAAUCCUCUCCUCCCAUCCGUCUUCAACUUCUCUUUUCGUGUAGGUUUCAAGAUUCUUGCAAAAAUCACUCUUCUCUUUCGGAUUUGUGAUUUUUGAUAUGCAACUGUCGGUAAAAAAUUCUGCUUUCCAGGU